AUCUUUGUGAGCCUGUGUGAUGCGUUGCCUGUCCCCUGCUUGUCUGGCUAGCGAUUGUUAGGUGUUUUGCAAGUGGCUUGUCAUGAAUAGUGGGUUUGUCUUCUCCUCCCUCUAUAAGGGCCAAAGGGUGUCAGUGGGAGGCAGAGUGUUGGAGACGGGAGACGGCAGAUGGUACUGCAACUGGCAGUGUCAGAAUAGGAGAAGGAGGAGGCGGUGGCGGUGGAGGAGGCUCUGGCGGAGGAGGAGGCGGUGGACAAGGAGGAGGAGGCGGUGGAGGAGGUGGAGGAGGCGGUGGAAAAGGAGAAAGAGGCGGUGGACGAGGAGGAAGAGGCAGUGUACAAGUAAGAGUAGGUGGUGGUGUCGGACAUUGUGGACGAGGAGGAGGAGGCGGUGGAGGUG